GAGGGUAUAGCUCAGUGGUAGAGCACGUGCUUAUUAGCAUGCAAGAGGUCCUGGGUUCAAUCCCCUGUAUCGCCA
rfam:Camelus ferus unplaced genomic scaffold scaffold642, whole genome shotgun sequence.